AGAGGUGUAGCUCAGUGGUUAGAGCACCUGCUUCACACGCAGGGGGUCAGCGGUUCGAAUCCGCUCAUCUCUA
rnacentral:tRNA from 1 species